AUUGAACGCUGGCGGCAUGCUUUACACAUGCAAGUCGAACGGCAGCGGGGUAGUGCUUGCACUACUGCCGGCGAGUGGCGCACGGGUGAGUAAUAUAUCGGAACGUACCGAGUAAUGGGGGAUAACCAAUCGAAAGAUUGGCUAAUACCGCAUACGUCCUGAGGGAGAAAGCGGGGGAUCGCAAGACCUCGCGUUAUUCGAGCGGCCGAUAACUGAUUAGCUAGUUGGUGGGGUAAAGGCCUACCAAGGCGACGAUCAGUAGCGGGUCUGAGAGGACGAUCCGCCACACUGGGACUGAGACACGGCCCAGACUCCUACGGGAGGCAGCAGUGGGGAAUUUUGGACAAUGGGGGCAACCCUGAUCCAGCCAUGCCGCGUGUAUGAAGAAGGCCUUCGGGUUGUAAAGUACUUUUGUUAGGGAAGAAAAGGGAAGUGCUAAUACCACUUUUUGCUGACGGUGCCUAAAGAAUAAGCACCGGCUAACUACGUG
rnacentral:rRNA from 1 species